rnacentral:sRNA from 1 species
GCGGUAGUUUCUCACCUUAAUUGCAUGUUUAAAUAAUUUUUUUUUUUUUUUAAAUACAUACAUGUCGUUUAUGCAAAUUUGGUUUAUGUAUCGGUACUAACAUGAUCAAUGUAUAAUAAUAGUGAAAUAUGUCACACAAGUUAUGGUGGUCAGUUGUGACGCAGGUUGUCUAAGGAGGGACGUACAGGCCAAGGGCGGAAACGCAGGCAGGCAAAAAGUCCCGUGUCGAUCAGUAGUGGGAUCGCGCCUGUGAAUCGGUAUCUGUCAGCAAUAAAAUAUAUUUGGACUC